AAUCCCUGCUUGGGAGCAUCCAGUCUAUAACCCGAGAGUCACCUGCUGCUGAGUCGGCUGAGAGCAGAUAAGACUGCAGCUUGACACAGAAUGCUGCUUACUUGAAGCGAUUGGGCUUCCCGCAGGUGUUGGUGGUUUGGGGGAGUUGUUUUGUUUUUAACUCAAUCGCAUGGUUCCCAAGUGUCAAAAAGUUGGAUAUACCUGAUAGGUAAUCAAAGCUCUCAGGAAUAAGAAUGUGUCUUGGAGCCUCUGGUGAUAAUGGAAGUAACAUAGGAGACCACUAGCAAGCUCAGAGCUGCUGUGGAUGAGGAAAUCCAAGCAAGGGAGCCAGCCCUUCAAGACCUCCAGUAUUAGGAUAGGUGUUUGAAUCAGACCCUCCUUCCUAGCAAUAGCAAGUGCUAGUGAUGCUUCAUCCACUGGUCCACUGGGGGUUGAUUAGACUGCAGAGCCCUCCCUGAGGUUUAUUUCCUGUCUGCAUCCGGAAGGAACUACUGACAGUCUUGGUGCUCUGUCCUGAUGUCAGGCUGAAAAUACACAAAGUCUGCACACAGUGUUCAGCCGUCGGAGGGGUAAGAUGUUGACUUCAGCCAAUGAACUAGUUGGUCGUUGGUGGGGUAGAAGACAUGGCAGCCACUCAUGAGCCCUGCCUUUCUCUCUAGAAGCCGUUCUCUUGUCUCUGCCUGUUGUGUGUUAUUUAUGCUGGUUACUUCAUUUCCUUGUUCUGCUUCCCUCUGGAUUAGCGUGCCCAACUAAUUUCUGAAACAGGUAAAUGACUGUAAUUCUUCCAAAUUAUUCCAUAGUAAAUGUGAUUUUUUUUUAAUCCAUCUUGGAAUCAAAAUGGUGAUAUGGGAGCAUUUUUGUUGCUACCUUUCUGGGGCAGGAUCAGAACUCACCUCAUUGUGCACAUUUCCAUAAUGUUGGCUGAUGAAUUCUGUAGACAACAGUGGAUCUGCCCAGGACCAACACUCCAAGUUCGUUGAGUCCUAACUCGGGUGGAUGAGCUGAUAGUUAAGAUUGAAUAUUUAUCAUUUUAACAUGGAUGUCAACACGUUGAUGUAUUUGCUACCAUAAAGGGUAAACCGGAUCCCUUUUCCUCAGUAGUGCAAAGAGGAGAUUAUUUCAAAAGGCAUUCAGAUCAUGACAGUGGGAAGCCUUCCAGUAGAGGGAAAAGAUCUUCAAAACUCUACUUCGCCAUUGCAGAAGAGGAAGCGAAUGCACCUGGGUACAGGAAGUCACAGCCAACAAAUGGUUAGAGCCUUCGGUUUUCAUCCCUCGCUGGCCUGAAGCUGAUGAACUGGCGCUAACAAACAAACGAGCUUUAAUUGAGUAGCUGCUGGUGGGGGCUGGGUCAGGUCCUUUAGAGGACUGAACCCUAACUCUACUCGGCAACAGGAUGGUCCCUCUCCGGGGAGGCAAAUGUGAAAUCAAAAUCUAAAACUCGAUUAUGGGGAGCUUCAAGUUACCUUAGGGAUUUGUCUAGUCACAUUUUAGUGAGCAUGAAUGUUAAUUUUUAUAUUUGGGGUCAUAUAUCUUCUUUCCUUUUUUUUUUAUUAAGUUUUCAUUGGAGUUAAUCUAGAAAUUUAUAGAACAAUUGAGUACAUCACCCUAUAGAACAUUGGUCUAAGGGGUUACCACAUACUAUUAGGAAAGAUCAACAAAAAGGCCCCAGUCCAAUGCAACCAAUUCAUUUUAGCUUUUCCACCUUAAGGCACAGUUCAUUGGAAAUGCCAGCACUCCCCUUUUCUGCUUUCUCUUCUAUUAAGCCCUAUGGUAAACUUUUCUUUUUUACUGUGCCAAGAGACACAAAGGGGACACGCCUGGUGUUACCCUCUAGAGGGUAAUUUUACAGCCAGUACUGCCACUGGCUUAGGGAAAAAGCAUUCCAAUGACCACAGUGCAAAAUGCAUGUAAAUGACAAUGUAGCAAACUGAGGAAGAAGAAUAUAACUAACGUACUUUGCAACAUGAGAUCUCCUUAAAGGGUGUCUGCCCUUCGAGUGAAGCUCUUUUCUUCCUAUAACACUUUAUCAGAGGUUACCAUGUGAGGGCAUUUAGAUGCCUGUGGUUGGACAUGAGGCCCAGCAUUCCAAUGUAAUGAAUGCCAUUUUCUCUAAGCAUUCUGAAAUCAAGUUGGUGAGCAUGACUUAGGAUAGGGAAAGCUUAUGUUUAGAGAGUAUGCCUGGGGGCAGAUGCAAGACUCACAAAGUCCCUACCGACUCACCAUCAGCAAGAACAUCCAGAGCCUGGCUUACAAACCAUUGCUAUGAGAAGACCCUGUGGCCCUUUCCUGGCUUCGGUAUUAUAGCUGGAUAACAGGGUAGAAUUAAGGGAGAGCCCACAGCACAAAGCAAGAAGAAUAAGUCAUGGAAAGUAGAGCAUUCAUUCUCGCUGAGCCAAGAAGCAUCUGUUCUGUAGAAAGUCAGUUUAAUGGGUCCUUUACUUGUAAUGAACAUGGUGGUUGGGUGCUGUGCUAAGGGUAGAAUGUAGGACUUUGCACCUGAAUAAUGGGCUCUAUAUGGCUCAGCUACACUCCAUACCUGGGCUUUACUUUCCACUGCGAUUCCCUGUGUGGUAGAUGUAGUUCUAUCACAGAACUGGGGUGAUACUUUGCUUUAUACAAAAUGUAGUCUGAUGUUAGC
rnacentral:lncRNA from 1 species